GCCCCCGGGCGCCAGGAGGGGCAGUGGCCCCGGGAGCGCGCGCCCCGGACGGGAAAGCCGGGUCUGCGGCCUCGCCCCAGCGUCCCCGCCGCCCUCCUGCAGACCCCGCAUCCUCCCGGGCAGCCGAGCCUCAGUGUCCCGAUCCGGGAAGUGGGCACGCAACGCUGGCCAGAGCCGCGGCCCCUCCGGACCCCAGUCACCUUCCCCGCCCCGGCCGGACACAACGGGACUGCUCUGCUGGAAGAUCCCACCCAGGGGCCCUCGGACAGGGCCGUGCAGUCUCCAUCGUGCCAAACGCACAGCCAUCGUUGUCUUUUUCUGCACCUUGCAGCGAUGAAAACGGCUAUGGUGAAAGACUUCCCUUCUGAGCCAGCGCUUUGUCUCGAGCACUCGUGAGUCCUCGCGCGUGGCCCACUUCAGCCCUGGGCACUCGCUCCGGAGAUGUGGAUGGAAAUCGCAUCUCCUCAGGUGCAGCCACUUCCCCAAGGCCAGGCGAGGGCUGGGCUGAAAGGCAGGCGUUGCCCCAGGGCUUUCUGUCUUUACUCACCUUUUUGUAGCUUUGCACCUAGCCCUGGUGCUCCUGCCUGGGCCGAUGUAACCAGGGUCCUCCUCUCCUGUCCCUGAAGCAGACUUCCCUCAAGUCCCGUCCCGUCCCCUGCUCCUGGCCCCAUAACCGGAAAAUCGAGACAGAAUGGUUUGGAAGCACGAAGGAUCCUGACGGCAGAUAAAGGACUCAGAGAAAACUGGCUGCCGACUUCUCGAGUGUGAGGUGAGACUCUCUUCGUGGAUUGGCCGGGGACCACGCACCCACCAGAAAGCCCCGAGUCUGGGGUCUCCUGGACGUCUGCAGACUUGCUCCACACGCAGCCGUGUUAGUUUCUUUCUGAAUCACUGGUGGACCCUUCGGAGCUCUGCACGUGGAUGUGUCUUUCCUGAGAACAGGACUUUAUCUUGCAUAACCACAGCAGGUUGCCAAACUCCUGAAUUCACGGCGAUAAGAUGCUGGUAUCUCGUCCAUCCGUGUUCCAGUUGUCAGCUGAUCGGAUAAAAUGUUGUGUAGUGUUUCUUCCCCUCCAUUUCAAGACCCAGUCCGGGGGUAGGACCAGGCCUGGCUUUCAGUUCUUUCAGACCGGUGGGUUUCAUGAACUUCUGUGAACUGGAGUGGAAUGGAUAUAAACAUCCUCAGGUGUUUUCCUGCUGGCAGUGGCCCCUAGAAUUCCUGGGGCACCUUCGUUCCCACAUUUCCUGGCUCUGCAAUAGGCCAGCACCCACCCCACACCGCUUUCUGAAGCAAGUUCAUGACCUUGCCACCCCUCCGUACACCCCAGUACUGAGGAUGGACCCACGGUGCUCUACCACUGAGCUGCAGCCUCAGCCCUUUCUUGUUUUUUUUACUUUGAGACAGGGUUUCCUUUUGCAAAGUUGCCCAGGCUGGCUUUGAACUUGGGAUCCUCCUGCCUCAGCCUCCCAAGUAGCUAGGAUUACAAGCACGCACCACCACACCUGCCUGAACUUCCCACUCCCCUUGUGGCUGUAGGAGCCAAAGUGGCCUCAGGAUGGUGAUUGUGGCCAAGCCCUGCCAUCCCCCAGGCACUCUUGAGGGUCCCCGGCCCAUGAGUCCCUCACAGGGUGGCAGCCCCUGCUAGCUGAUAGCCAAGCAGUGUACAAAUCACCCUGAGAGCCCAGCCUCCAGGGGCAGGCACCUCACCAGAGGGAACCAUGCAGGCUGGACUUGGACCUCGGGACAAGACACAGGAUUCUGUGAUAGCAAAGAAUCCAGCUAUCCGCCGUGAGCCGGAAGGCUCAUUCUGCUGAAAGUGGAGGAUCUGAGAGGCCCGCAUUUUUAAUUAGUGAUGAACUGAUUGACAUCUAUCUCCGCUGUUGACGCAUAAUUUGUUCUGGAAGGCGCACAGUUGUGUGAUGCGGAGCCCUGUUGGCCCCAGAAGGUUGCUUCCACCUGCUUUGGGUCGGUCACCUGCCUUCCCCAGUGCCAUGGACUGUUCUCAUCUGUGGAGCCACCCUGCCUUGGAGCCAGCCUACCAUGGACUGAGACCUCUACAUCUACACACUGAGCCAAAAUAAAGCUCUCCUCCCCUAAGUUGUGUCACAAUGAUGGGAAAGUGACUUGGACAGCGCCCAUGGCCACGAGAUGAUGUGACCUGUCUGCCACUGUCACUGCCUUCCUUCCUAAGGUAGAGUCGUAAGAAGAAGGCGCUGCUCAAGUUCCUGUGGAUAGAAAGGUCACCAAGGCCAAGCUCCCUGCCUCGCGAGCUGCCCCAGGUCACAGAAUGUCCCAGGUCAGCGAGUGUCCUGUGGGCAGCUCCCUGGCUCCCUGCAUCCAGGGCUGGCCCCCCUCAGGCACAGGACUGGUGACCUGCAGUGCACGGCCCUGCCUGCUGUCCCCCAACGUGCUGGCUUGGUUUCACAGGAUGGCCUCGCGACAUGCAUGUCACACUGGGUGAGGCUCCAACCACUUUGGGCUUAGAGCUUCACCUUGGGUUUCAGAAACGCCAUUCGGCUGGCCCACAGCUUCGUCCAUUGCCUUUUGCAGGGAUGGGUUCCACCCCUGGCCACAGCCCACUUUUUCCUUCCCCAGCUAUUAUGCAUCAUUCUCAGGCUUCUGUAUAAAGAUGUGUUUAUGGAGUGAUGAGAGCUCUACUUCUCCCUCCACCUAAACAGAGACUCGCAGCCCAGUGGUGUGCUGGCUCUCAAAUGGCCAUCGACUGAAAGAUCUUUGCACCUCCAUCUUGGGAGAAGUCUCAGGCAGCAGCCUCAGGCACACCACGCCCUAUUUCUGUUGCUCUAACAGAACGCUUGAGGCCUCAUUGCUGGGUAGGAAGGACUUCCGGUCCAGCUUUGCCUGCAGCCUCUCUCCUCUUCCCAUCCCUCAGGUGUCUGCAUCCUAGAAUCCUCCUUCCCCACCCAGCCCAAGCACAGGGUCUUCUCUGCCCAGAAACCAAGUUGAGGACAUUUAGAGAAGCUGCAGGGGUGGGCCUGGGACUGAGGGGCUUCUGGGGAACGGCAGGCAGGCUGAGCCAUGGGCAAGGGGAGUUUGUGAGGGGGACUUCUAGGCAAAAGGUGCCUCCUCAGUGCACAAAAUCAUGUGCUGUCAUCACUGGGGGGACAACAGGGCAUGCAACUUCCUGAGGGCAAAUUGUCAGAGUGUGUCCAAGAGGGAGGAACACAGAGAGGGGACAUGGGCCUCCUUACCUCACCCUAUAAAUCUUCCAGAGGCAUGCCACUUCCCUUCUGUAGUAGUUAGGCUUCUCUAGAGGAACAGAGUCAUUAGAAAAUGUGUGCAGGGGGACUUAGUAGGUAGCGUAAGGGAUCAGAGGUGAAAGGAUCCACAGAGGCUGUCUGCACACCAGAAAGCAGAGGACCCAGGAGUUCCUCAGACCAAGAAACUGGAUGAGGCAGACCAAGAGGGACCAAGGAUCCAGGCCCCCUCCAAAGUGGAAGGCCUGCGAGCUGCCUGCGGAGUCUCCAGUGAGAGUCUGCACCGGGAGGCUGAAGAAACGGGAGACCAAUGUCCAAAGGCGACUAGAGCUCUUCCAACAUGGCAGCACUUCCUUUUCCUUUCCCUUUUUAUUCCAUCCAGGCUACAAGUCUAUUGGUCAGUGCCAACCACAUUCUGAGUAGGUCUUCCCCCUCAGUUUGCUAGCCUCUAUGUCAGUCAUCCACGGACACGCCCACAGCUGGGCUUUACUCAUCUGCCAGGCAGUUCUUACUCAGGAAGCCACUUUGACACAGCAUGGUCAAUGGUUAUAUCCUCUCAUGGAGAUUGCAGUCAACCUACACCCAACUCCAGACACAAUCUCAACCAUCUACCCAGUAUUUCCACCUGUGUUCCCUCCGCACACAUCAAACUCAUCAUCAUGAGUUGGGGACAUGACACUUCUUCUCAUGACCCCCUUCCGGUGCUGGAGCAGGACACACAAUGCACAGUCGAAGGCCGCUGAGCACAGUGACAUUUCCCAAAGUGUGCUCCUCAGGCUAGCAGCACCCAUGCCUCCUGCAAAGUUAUAAGCAAUGCAGAUCCUCAGGCCCCACCUAGGCGAAAGGAACCGGAGCUCCAGGCUGCUGCAGGGACCUGUGCUUGCAUCAUCCUGACACAGUGACCUCUCAGAGCCCCGGCUGGGAAAUGGGCCGCCAGGCCUCAGACCAGACAUAGCUGGGCCUGCUGGGCCCCACACAGUAGCCUCCUCAGGAAAGAAGACUCCAGAGCUGCUGCAGGAAGUAGCAAGAACUAUUGGAUAAGUAUGUUUGAAGAGAAGGGAAGGAUUUUGAAGGGGGGUUAAUAGCAAUGUGUCUUUUCCUAUAACACAUUUUUAAAAUUCAAACAUUCACUGCAUAUGUACGUUUUUUAGGACCCCCUCUCCCUUGGCAUUUCUACCUCCAGGUUGUAUACAGUGUAUUCCCCGGCACAGGCUCUAUUAUCUGUGAUUAUAUUUGCUUAAACCACAUUUCACUGAUGUAAAAGUGGGCAGUGUCCUGUGCAAUUUGUCCUGGGCCCUGAGGAAAUGGCCACAUAGCCACAGCCCCGGCGCAGGUGUGAUGUUGGCCACUCCAAGCCCACUUGGGGAAAGCAAUUGGAAGCCUCUACUCUCUGAGCUCGGUAGCAACAGCACAUGUGGCUAGACCUGGAAAUCGGCUUGUGGAAAAUAGCAGAGCCAUGGGGGUAACAAGGCAGACACAAAGCCUGUCAUCGUUUUCCUGUCUCAGGGUUAUAAUAGUGCAUUUAGAGAAUAAACGUUGCCCACCUACUUGGUUAUUAUUUACACAGUAAGAUCACCCUCUCUUCCUCUCUAGAGCUGGCUGGAGGACUGCUAGGUGCUGACCCGGGGUGGCUCACUCAGAAGCCCAUGAGGAAACAGUAAAAUGCCCGGACUGGUAUAGCCCCGAGGCUACUGCCCAGGGAAGGAUGGGUCUGGUGUCCAGGGACUGUCAGGCUGAUCCACGUCAGAUCUCAUGCGAAUAAGGGGCAGAAACCCAUGAGAUAACAGAAAACAGAGAUCCUCUGAGAGCCAAAGGUUUUACAGUGAAGGAGAGAAAAAACAGAGAAUUGGUUCUGGAGCUCUGUUGGCAGCUUCCCAGCUGUGGGCAUGACCUGUGUUUUAUUCUCUCUCUCUCUCAAGGUGAGUUUGCAUGACCCUUUGUCCUUAGACACAGAAGGCAGAUGGGCUGACCCACCAUCUGGUACUGGAGAGGAAUGGUCAGGAGGACCUUUUGGGUUACAAACACCUGACUGUCAUUUGUAGGAGCUGCAACAUCAUGGCAAUGAUCUGACCGCGGGCCCAGGACUCAGGCUGCCUGCAUUCAGGGGCAGCUUUGUGUUUCCAGCUCAUCAGCCCUGCAUUCAUCACUUCACUAACUUCUCUCCAUGCUUUGCCUCCUGCCUGGAACAGUGCUCGGUAAACAUUGGCUACAUGGACUCCUGGUUCUGUCUCCAGUCCUCAGUGCUCCUGUAUCAGCCACAGUACUGGUUCCGCUGGCCUGUUCUCAGUUGCCCAUACUCGGUGAGGUAGAAUGUAGGAAGCCUUAAUUAUGAAUUCGGAGACAAGCCCUGCCACCCUUGGAGGAGGACAUGGAAGGCAGCUAUGCUCACCACUAUACCACCAACGCGAGGAGGACAUGGGAUACGCAAUCUAUUUGCUUUACAUAAGGUGGAGAAGGAAAGAUGCCCACUUAACAUUUUUCUCCAAGGGCUGUGGUUCCCGUGUUGUCCCUUCCUUGGCUGUUCGGAGUUGAAUGCCUCCUCUCCACCACCUUUGCCCCGGGCCGCCAUUGUUCCUCUAAGCUUCUCUCCUUGCUUUGGUUUUAUGUAGAUUUUGUAUUGUAGUUGAUCUUUCAUGG